GUGGGUGGUCAUAAUUUUCCACAUGGCUGUCUUUUGUACAUUCACAGACAACGCUCGGCCGGUCAGUAGAAAGACCGUCAGGUAAACUUGAUUCGCACAAUCCGCCUCGUUUCGUUGUCGAGGAUGUUAGGUUAGGUAGCUGGUAGUCUCGUAUUGGUCACCGCUCGGUACGCACGUUGCUCGUUCACGUAAAAUCAACUUGUUUACAAAUAAAAGCCUCUGUGAACAGCGGGAGGAUAGCUGUGACAGGUUCUACAAGCCGAUUUUAAUUUCAAAUUAACGGAAAAUGGAAAGCUGGUUGGACGAUGUGAAAAGGGUGCGCAUCCCUAGACCAAAAUUCGAACGAAAAUAUCCCACAGAGCCUCCAAAGGACUACCUCGAGGACUGCAGCGAUCUCAGCGGCAAAGGGAGACACCAUCACGAUAACAAGGACCUGGCAAAAGCUACUGAAGAACUCAGACGAACAUUACAAGAGAAACUAUGACCGCAACGUCUUUAGUUUUAUUUGGAUUAAUAUUGCCUAGGAUAAGUCAUAACUAACUUAUAAGAUAAUCACAUAAUAAUGAACGAAAAUAGCUUAUCCAGAACCAAUUUAUUGCAUUGUGAAAUAAUUAUUCUAUAAAAGAGAAAAGUUACAUCAGUACAUAAAACAAAAAAUCAUUGCCAAAUAAUUAAUAAUUUGUCAAAAAAAAAAUCGAAUUGAUUUAUGAAUUGAAUGUAAAAGAUCUAUAACAGACUUUUUUAUUCUAUGAAAAAAGGAGGAGUUUAUAAUAAUUAUGUUCGACUGUAUGUAUGUUUUUGAUUUACUUCGGUUAUAAAAAAAGACUGUGUUACAUAAGAAUGUAGAUAUUUAUUUCGUUCGGUCCAGUUUUAUAAUUUUAAUAAAAAGAAGGAAAUAAUGAAAUCUUAGACAUAAGUUUACUACCUAAAUAAUAAUUACCAUUAAGUAUUGUUAGAUAUAGGUGACAAGUAAUACGUAAUAAGCUUAGGAUAGUAAAUAUUAAUCUCUCAAUAAGUAUAUGAAAAAUUUGAAAUCAAAGCUAUUUUAUUAUAUAACUAGCGGAUGCCCGCGACUUCGUCCGCGUGGAAUUCAGUUUUUCACAUAUCCCUCGGGAACCAUGGACUUUUCCGGGAUAAAAAGUAGCCCAUGUGUUAAUCCAGGCUAUAAUAUAUCUCAAUACCAAAUUUCAGCUAAUUUGGUUCAGUAGUCGAGGCGUGAAAGAGUAACAAACAUUCAUAUCAUCAAAAUCAUCAAUUUUCGCAAGUAUCGGGAAACCAUGGAUUUUUUCGGGAUAAAAAGUAGCCUAUUUGUUAAUCCAGAGUAAAAUCUAAUUCUAUUCCAAAUUUCAGCCAAAUCGCUUCAGUAGUAGCGGCGUUAAAGAGUAACAAACAUCCAAACAUCCAUACAAACUGUCGCGUUUAUAAUAUUAGUAGGAUUUAUAAGAUCAAACAAUCUUAGAUAAAUUGGUACGUACGUAUAUUACUUACAUAAAUUUUGAGUCAAUCAAAGGAUUGAUUUAUUUAACAAUCUACGUAUCUUUUUUCUAUUUAAGUUUAUUUGACGAUGUGACCUUAAAGUCUAAUUUUGUAUUGGGGGCUAUCUUGGAAGGAGUACAUAGUUUUAUUUUCCAUAUAAUAAAACUUCUUCGCUUCUAAACGGCAUCUUAUCAGAACGCUUAAUCACUUGGCGGCUUUUUGCCCGAUGUCAGAUCAGAUCGUGAUCACGUGACUUGGUAAAUGACAUUUCCCAUACAUUUUUCUAGUUUUCGAAGCGUUUGCGAUGAUAGAAAGAGAAUCGACGUGCAACUUGGCUACAGGCCAUAAGCGAAUUGUCCCUAAAUACUAAUCAAACCCAGGACUCUGCAGUAAUCCAAGUCAACUACGACAGAAAGAUCAUCAGUCUAUCUCAUACUGAAUAUUUAAAUAACCAUUUAUAUUAUUAAAUUCAGCUCCACUUGUUAGGCUCUUGAUAUUUUUAUUCAUAAUUUUUUCCACUUUUUAGCGAAUCGGGGUGAACUCCCACGCGACUCUGCAAUCAUUAAUAUUAAAUGUCCUUUGUUAAUUUACCAAUUACUUGAAAACUUUCAGCCAAUAUUUAUAAUUGCGACUACAUUAUUGUAUGGUUUGUUAUGUUAUUUUAUGUUAUGUUUCGUAAUAGACUAAAACAACCUUCAUUAUUAAAUUAUGAAAUAUAGUUUGUAAGACUGAUUUAUUAAGCGGAAUUAUAGGAACUAAUUAAAUAAACAUCUCUGUAUUAAAAGGAAGUGUUCGUC